AGACAGGCAUGAGCUGCAGUCCACAGCCUGCUCACGGGCAAAUAGCAUGCUGGCGAUUUAGAAGCUACAUAGAAGCUACUCCUUGAUGCCAAAGUAUUGAUUUAGGCAACGACACUUCUAUUUAUGGGAAAGGGAAAAAGAGACAAGAAGAAGGCUGAAGAUGCAGAAUAGAAAGGAUGAGCCUUAUUCUGGAGCUUGUCACAUCAGUGUUGCUACUUAGGUGAUUAAAAAGAAGCAGCGGGAUCUUGGAGAAAACGUCUGACGAAAGAACUUGAUCUGCACCUAGUGACUCAUUCGUCUUGUGGCUGCCUCUGGAUUUGUGAGUAUGGUGCCUAGAAAGAAAUAACCAACAAAUCAAAGUCUAUUUCAUUGAUGCACAUGUUGGCACCCUUUGAAAGAUCCGGAAAUCCACAUGUUGAACAUGAAUUUAGGGCUGCGGUUGCUGCAAAGGUAUCUUCCACAACUUGAUUUUCUAUGAUUUCAAUUACUCAGGGACUAGGGGAACCUUCCUGGAGUGUAUAGCCAAAGGAAGACCUGUUAACUGGGGAUGCAGGAGGAGACUUGUGGAAGAGUGUGUUCCAGGCAGAGGCACCAUUUUGUGCAGAGGACUUGAGAAUAUAAGUUCCAUAAGGACAAGACUCGUCUGCCAUGAUUGCUGUUAUAUCCCCAGCUCCUAGAAGAGAGCCUGUCAUAUAGAAGGUGGUUGGUAAACAUAUGCUGAAUCAGGGAAUGAAUGCGCAACUGCAGGUUUUGUCAAGAAGUGAGGGGGAGAGAAUUGGUGAAAAUUCACUUUAACGAAACAGCUUUAUUGAGACUUAAUUCACAUACCAUACAAUUCGCCCAUUUAAAGUGUACAGUGGUUUUAGUAUAUUCACAGACUUGUGCAUCCAUUGCCACAAUCAACUUUAGAACAUUUUCAUUACACCAGAAAGUUACCCCACACCCCUUAGCCAUCACUCCAAGUCACCUAUACCCCCAGCCCUACGCAAACAUCAAUCUACUUUCUAUCUCUAUAGAUUUGCCUGUUCUGGACAUUUCAUAUAAAUGGAAUCAUACAGUUUGUGGUCCUCUGUAAAUGGCUUCUUUCACUUAGCACAGUGUUUUCAAGGUUCGUCCAUGGUGUAUUAUGUCAUUUACUUUUACAGAUUUAGAAAUUCUAUCCCUAGAUCUUGUUAGACCACCAGAAGGCUACACACUGGGGUGGUGGUAGUUAAUCUCAGAGGUUUUAUUUUAUUUUAUUUUUUUAAAGUUUUUUUUAUGUGGACCAUUUUUUAAAGUCUUUAUUGAAUUUGUUACAAUACUGCUUCUGUUUUAUGUUUUGGUUUUUUGGCUGCAAGGCAAGGCAUGUGGAAUCUUAGCUCCCCAACCAGGGAUCAAACCCGCACCCCCUGCAUUGGAAGGCAAAGUCUUAACAACUGGACCGCCAGGGAAGUCCCUGUCUCAGAGGUUUUAAAAUCAUGGCUGCACAUCAGAAUUCCUCCUCCCUCUCAUUUUCCAGCUUGUGGCAUGUUUAGAAAACCCAGAGUAUCUGGUUCUACUCUAGAGUCUAUGGAGUGCAACCUGAGUUGAGAACCAUUGGUUUAGCUAAUUACCUUCAUUGGGUUGUUAUGUAACGUUAUGCAUUUGACUUUAAUAUUACAAGUAAAGGUCAUAUGAAACUUGCUGUUGCAAGAUAUUGUCCCCUAACCAGCUGUUGGUGAAUCAGAUCUUGGACACCAGUCAUUUUACAAGUAUAGGUGCUACCUAUAGAAUAAUGCAAAAGCACAGUUAGGAGUUGUGCCAUGCUUUGAUUCAGCCUCAAGACUUUUCCUUUGUGAUGGUAGUCAAACUGUUUAACCUCUUAGCACCUUAUCUGUAAAACAGUCUGUCUCCUAGGGUGGUUGGAAGCAUUAAAAGAAAUAGUGUAUGAAAAGUACAUCAAACACUACAAAAUGUGUAAAAAGUAUAACUUAUCCUUACUAUUGUUAAAAUGUAGAAUCAUGGACUUUUAGAUUUAGAAUAGGAUGGAGUAGAAGUGGGGUAAGCUUAAAGUCAGAAGAAUUGGUUCUGCUUCUGUUGGUCCAUGAAACGAGCAACGCCCUCACUUUGAUUUCUCUUUCCUUGUUGGUAUAUGUUACGGUUGGACCAGGUGAUAACUAAAGACCCUUCAAAUGAAAAAAAUAUGCAAAUCAGAUAUUCUCUGACCCAUUAUAGUGACUCCUCUAAUACUUCAAAUGACUUCCAGUGGCUUGGGCUGACUCUACCCUGACAUUACUUAUAACGCACACGUACCUACUUCAAUUUAGUCAUUACUCAGAGCCAACCAUCUUUUGUAAAAGUCUACCUUCCAAUACUAACCACCUCCCAGUACAUUAUUAUUAUGAAAAAUUUCUAAACAUAUUGAAAAGCAGAGAGUACAGUUGACCCUUGAACAGUGUGGGUUUGAACUGCAUGGAUCUACUUACAUGUGGAUUUUUUCCCAAUAAUAAAUACUACAGUACUACAGGAUCUGCAGUUGGUUGAAUUGUGGAUGCAGAACUGCAGAUCUGGAGGGCUGACUAUAAAUUAUAGGUGUAUUUUCAACUGCCUGCAGGGUCAACACCCCUAACAACUGCAUUGUUCAAGGGUCAGCUGUAUAAUGAACAACGAUAGACUCAUCCUACAUAAAAUUUACCAUAUCUUAUCUUCUUUGAACUAUUUUUAAAAAAUUUAUUCAUAAUAUUUAACUUUAUUCCAGAGUGCCUACAUAAGAUAAUGACAUUUAUCUACAUAACCACAAUUGCAU